rnacentral:rRNA from 1 species
GACGAACGCUGGCGGCGUGCCUAAUACAUGCAAGUAGAACGCUGAAGGAGGAGCUUGCUUCUCUGGAUGAGUUGCGAACGGGUGAGUAACGCGUAGGUAACCUGCCUGGUAGCGGGGGAUAACUAUUGGAAACGAUAGCUAAUACCGCAUAAGAGUAGAUGUUGCAUGACAUUUGCUUAAAAGGUGCAAUUGCAUCACUACCAGAUGGACCUGCGUUGUAUUAGCUAGUUGGUGGGGUAACGGCUCACCAAGGCGACGAUACAUAGCCGACCUGAGAGGGUGAUCGGCCACACUGGGACUGAGACACGGCCCAGACUCCUACGGGAGGCAGCAGUAGGGAAUCUUCGGCAAUGGACGGAAGUCUGACCGAGCAACGCCGCGUGAGUGAAGAAGGUUUUCGGAUCGUAAAGCUCUGUUGUAAGAGAAGAACGAGUGUGAGAGUGGAAAGUUC